AUCUUAUACUAUGCAUAAAGUGGUAUCACUUGAAGAUAAGACUGAUAAAUUUAAAGUAUAUACUAUAAAUCCUAAAGCAACUACUGAAAUAACAAAAUAGAGUUAUAACUAGUAGUUUAACACUGAAGAUUAAAUGAAAUAAUAAAAAUCCUUAAAAAGGCAGGAAAAAAUAGGGAACAAGAGACAUGUCUAUCUGUAUUGCUAUAAAGAAAUACCAGAGGCUGGGUAAUUUAUAAAGAAAAGAGAUUUUUUUUUUUUUUUUUUUUUUUGGCUCAUGGGUCUGCAGGCUGUACAAGAAGCAUAAUGCCAGCAUCUAUAUGUAAAAUUUAUCGUACGUCAAUUAUAUCUCAGUUAAAGCUAUCAAUGAAAAAUAAAGUUAGUUGCAAUGUAGAAUUUGAACCAAACCAAUAAACUUUUCAUACUCUGUAUAACUGAUUGGUCUACAUUUUAUUUGAAUAGGUUUUAUACAUAUAGGUAAAAUAUCUUCAUGCAAUUAUUUGGAAAAUACAGGUAGCAGCAGUGUUUGAGAAUACUGGCUUCAAUUUUGAAAGAAGUUCUAUGUGAGUAAAAUGCUAUCAAACAACAUUGCAUGCUACAGGGAAAUGUUUAAUGACAGGAAGAGUCUGUAGAUGUGGCAAACUUCAUUGUUUUAUUAUUUUAAUGCUGGGACUACAGGCAUGAGCCACCGUGCCCUGCAUGAUUAUUCUAACAUCUUGAUCACUAUAGAGUUUGCCUUUGCUGAUUAUCUUUUCCUUGGAGAUGUCUCAGAAAACAAACAGUAAGUCUAGAAUAAUGAUAAAGAGCUUUUUUUUUUGGACAAGAGCUAAUUCAAGAAAAUAAAAAUGUUACUUUUUUGUCUGUCCGUAUUUCUUCUUUUUAGAAACUGCCUCUCUUGUAAGUCACAUGAUUCUGGUAGUGUUGUCAAUUAAGAGGUCACUUCCCUGCCCAAGGGUUGCAUGUGAUGGAGCAGGAAUAAUCAAGCUUCUUGCUUAGUGAGGGAGAUGGGAA
rnacentral:lncRNA from 10 species